rnacentral:rRNA from 1 species
UUAAAUUGAAGAGUUUGAUCAUGGCUCAGAUUGAACGCUGGCGGCAGGCCUAACACAUGCAAGUCGAACGGUAGCACAGAGGAGCUUGACCCUUGGGUUACGAGUGGCGGACGGGUGAG